CGGGGUGAGUAACGCGUGGGUAACCUGCCUCAUACAGGGGGAUAACAGUUAGAAAUGACUGCUAAUACCGCAUAAGCGCACAGUGCUGCAUGGCACAGUGUGAAAAACUCCGGUGGUAUGAGAUGGACCCGCGUCUGAUUAGGUAGUUGGUGGGGUAACGGCCUACCAAGCCAACGAUCAGUAGCCGACCUGAGAGGGUGACCGGCCACAUUGGGACUGAGACACGGCCCAA
rnacentral:rRNA from 1 species